rnacentral:tRNA from 1 species
CAUUGAAUGGCUGAAUUUUAAGCAAUGGUCUCUUAAACCAACUCAUAGUAUUUUUACUUUUAAUG